rnacentral:rRNA from 1 species
UAGUCCACGCCGUAAACGAUGUCUACUUGUUGUUUGUGUCUUUAAGACGUGAGUGACGAAGCUAACGCGCUAAGUAGACCGCCUGGGGAGUACGGCCGCAAGGUUAAAACUCAAAUGAAUUGACGGGGGCCCGCACAAGCGGUGGAGCAUGUGGUUUAAUUCGAUGCAACGCGAAGAACCUUACCAUCCCUUGACAUCCAGUGAAUUAUCUAGAGAUAGAUUUGUGCCUUCGGGAACACUGAGACAGGUGCUGCAUGGCUGUCGUCAGCUCGUGUUGUGAAAUGUUGGGUUAAGUCCCGCAACGAGCGCAACCCCUAUCCUUAGUUGCCAUCAGUUCGGCUGGGAACUCUAAGGAGACUGCCGGUGACAAACCGGAGGAAGGUGGGGACGACGUCAAGUCAUCAUGGCCCUUACGGGAUGGGCUACACACGUGCUACAAUGGCAGGUACAGAGGGUUGCGAGCUAGCGAUAGUUAGCGAACCCCUUAAAGCUUGUCGUAGUCCGGAUUGG